AGAUUGAACGCUGGCGGCAUGCCUAACACAUGCAAGUCGAACGGGAGUAGCAAUACUCUAGUGGCGGACGGGUGAGGAAUACGUAGGAAUUUGCCCUUAAGUGGGGGAUAACCCGGGGAAACCCGGAUUAAUACCGCAUGACCUCGAAAGAGCAAAGUGGGGGAUCGCAAGACCUCACGUCUUUUGGAGAAGCCUACGUCGGAUUAGCUAGUUGGUGAGGUAAUGGCUCACCAGGCGACGAUCCGUAACUGGUCUGAGAGGAUGAUCAGUCACGACCGGAACUGAG
rnacentral:rRNA from 1 species